rnacentral:rRNA from 1 species
UAUAAAUUGAGAGUUUGAUCCUGGCUCAGGACGAACGCUGGCGGCGUGCCUAAUACAUGCAAGUCGAACGAAGCUUUUAAUCAAUAAAUGCUUGCAUUUAGCGAUUAAAAGACUGAGUGGCGAACGGGUGAGUAACACGUAGGCAACCUGCCCAAAAGAGGGGGAUAACAC